GUGUGUUACCGCCCCACCAAGUAUGGUGGUUAUGACACUCGGCUUGUAAUCGAGUGGGUUCGGGUUCGAAUCCCGAGUAAAACAUACA
rnacentral:tRNA from 1 species